AACAUAUGGGACAAAUAAUAUACGUCAAUUCCUUUCGGGUCAUCGAGGCAUCAUAAUAGUUUCAAAAUUUAGGCUCAUAUAUCAUAUAUGAGUGACAAUUCAUAGUCUAGAAUUGCACUCAAGAUCAUAAAAUCACAUACGCAUCUCAGAACUUGCAACAUAUGGAACAAAUAAUAUCCGUCAAUUCAUUUCGGGUCAUCAAGGCAUCAUAAUAGUUUCAAAAUUUGGGCUCAUAUCUCAUAUAUGAGCAACAAUUCAUAGUCUAGAAUUUCACUCAAGAUCAUAAAAUCACAUAGGCAUCUCAAAACUUGCAACAUAUGGGACACUAAUAACCGUCAAUUCCUUUCGGGUCAUCAAGGCAUCAUAACAGUUUCAAAAUUUAGGCUCAUAUAUAUAUAUAUAUAUAUAUAUAUAUAUAUAUAUAUAUAUAUAUAUAUAUAUAUAUAUAGGGCAUAUCAAGUAAGAGGACCUUUUAAAAUGAGAGAUGAGAGGGUGAAAUCACAACCCUUAGAUCAAUCUUUAUUGUGUUACUUAAAUUUUAAAACUGCUUCUUCUCUCGCCGUCUAUUCAUCUCCCUGUGAUAUUUCAGUUUCUUUUUUUUCUUUCAAAUGUUAUUAUUCAAGAUCCAAUGGAAGGCAAUUUUGAUGUAUCAUGGCUAACUUAAUCAAAAAAACAAUCACACCUUAUGAAUCACACCAAAGAGAAGUUUGGAAAAUAUGAAUUGUUAUGAAUCAUAGAAGCCGUAAAAAAAACUAAAACAUCAAAUCCAAAUUUGGGAUAUGGGUUAUCAUUAAAUCAAACCUUGUAAAAGAGCUGUAAUGAUGAUUCGGUAAUCCACUUUCAGUUUAUAGAAUAGAAAAAGAAAGAAGAACAAAAACUAAUCUUUUUUAAAUCUUCAUGGAUUUCAUUUCUGCUGCACUUUCUUCAUGUUCCUGUCACUAAUUAAAAGAAUGCAUAAUUUUAUUCAUUGAAUUUCAUAGUUUAUCCCAAAUUCAUUUAUUAGUAGUAGUUUGAUGGUUUGAUACAAAAUAGUUUUCUUCUGGAAAUCACGUUCGUACUCAUAGCUAAAAAAAGAAGAGAAAUAGAGUUGAUGAAACAGGAUAAUUUGGGCUGGAAUUGGAGAAGACAAUUUGGAAAAGAAAAAAACAUAAAUCUAAGAGAAGAAAGGAAGAGGGAUGAAAGCGCUUACCCACUUAACUACAAGAGAAGACAAUCACACGUGUGUGCAGCAGUGCAGGUAUCACAAAUAAAUAUCAGCCAUUUGAUUUGAUCUAAGGGUUGCGAUUUAACCCUCUCACUCUCAUUUUAAAUAGUGGUCUCAUUUGAUACACCCUAUAUAUAUAUAUGACAAUUCAUAGUAUAAAAUUGCACUCAAGAUCAUAAAAUCACCAUGGCAUCCCAACAAUUGCAACAUAAGGGACAAAUAAUAUCCGUCAAUUCCUUUCGGAUCAUCGAGACAUUAUAAUAGUAUCAAAAUUUAGGCUCAUAUGUCAUAUAUGAGUGACAAUCCACAGUAUAAAAUUGCAUUCAAGAUCAUACAAUCAUUGAGGCAUCCCAACACUUGCAACAUAUGAGACAAAUAAUAUCCGUCAAUUCCUUUCAGGUCAUCGAGACAUCAUAAUAGUUUCAAAAUUUACGCUCAUAUAUCAUAUAUGAGUCACAAUUCAUAUUAUAGAAUUGCAUUCAAGAUCAUAAAAUAACCGAGGCAUCCCAACACUUUCAACGUAUAGGACAAAUAAUAUCCGUCAAUUCCUUUCGGGUCAUCCAGCAAUCAUAAUAGUUUCAAAAUCACCCAGGCAUCAUAAUAGUUUUAAAAUUUAGGCUCAAAUAUCAUAUAUGAGACACAAUUCAUAGAAUAGAAUUGCACUCAAGAUCAUAAAAUCAUUAAGGCAUCCCAACACUUCCAACAAAUAAUAUCCGUCAAUUCCUUUCGGGUCAUCGAGGCAUCAUAAUAGUUUCAAAAUUUAGACUCAUAUCAUAUCUGAGUGACAAUUCAUAGUAUAGAAUUGCACUCAAGAUCAAAAAAUCAUUGAGGCAUCCAACACUUGCAACAUAUCGAACAAAUAAUAUCCGUCAAUUCCUUUCGGGUCAUCCAGCAAUCAUAAUAGUUUCAAAAUCACCCAGGCAUCAUAAUAGUUUCAAAAUUUAGGCUUAUAUAUCAUACAUGAGUGACAAUUCAUAGUAUAGAAUUGCAUUCAAGAUCAUAAAAUCAUUGAGGCAUCCCAACACUUGCAACAUAUGGGACAAAUAAUAUCCGUGAAUUCCUUUCGGGUCAUCGAGGCAUCAUAAUAGUUUCAAAAUUUAGGCUCAUAUAUGAUAUAUGAGUCACAAUUCAUAUUAUAGAAUUGCAUUCAAGAUCAUAAAAUCACCAAGGCACACCAACACUUGCAACAUAUGGGACAAAUAAUAUCCGGCAAUUCCUUUCAGUUCAUCGAGGCAUCAUAAUAGUUUCGAAAUCAUCAAGGCAUCAUAAUAGUUUCAAAAUUUAGGCUUAUAUAUCAAACAUGAGUGACAAUUCAUAGUAUAGAAUUGCACUCAAGAUCAUUAAAUCAUUAAGGCAUCCCAACACCUGCAACAUAUUGGACAAAUAAUAUCCGUGAAUUCCUUUCGGGUCAUCGAGACAUCAUAAUAGUUUCAAAAUUUGAGCUAGUUUAGAAUUUUACUCGAGAUCAUAAAAUCACAUAGGCAUCUCAAAACUUGCAACAUAUGGGACAAAUUAGAACCGUCAAUUCCUUUCGGGUCAUCAAAGCAUCAUAAUAGUUUCAAAUUUGGGCGCAUAUAUCAUAUGAGUAACAAUUCAUAGUCUAGAAUUGCACUCAAGAUCAUAAAAUCACAUAGGCAUCUCAAAACUUGCAACAUACGGAACAAAUAAUAUCCGUCAAUUCAUUUCGGGUCAUCGAGACAUCAUAAUAGUUUCAAAAUUAAUGCUCAUAUAUAUCUCAUAUUUGAGUAACAAUUCAUAGUCUAGAAUUUCACUCAAGAUUAUAAAAUCAUAGAGGCAUCCCAACACUUGCAACAUAUAGAACAAAUAAUAACCGUCAAUUCCUUUCGGGUCAUCGAGGCAUCAUAAUAGUUUCAAAAUUUAGGCUCAUAUGUCAUAUAUGAGUGAGUCACAAUUAUUAGUAUAGUAUUGCAUUCAAGAUCAUAAAAUCAUUGAGGCAUCCCAACACUUGCAAAAAUGGGACAAAUAAUAUCCGUCAAUUCCUUUCGGUUCAUCGAGGCAUCAUAAUAGUUUCAAAAUUUAGGCUUAUAUAUCAUAUAUGAGUGACAAUUCAUAGUAUAGAAUUGCACUCAAGAUCAUAAAAUCAUUAAGGCAUCCCAACACUUGCAAAAAUGGGACAAAUAAUAUCCGUCAAUUCUUUUCGGGUUAUCGAGGCAUCAUAAUAGUUUCAAAAUUUAGGCUCAUAUAUCAUAUAUGAGUGACAAUUCAUAGUAUAAAAUUGCACUCAAGAUCAUAAAAUCAUUGAGGCAUCCGAACACUUGCAACAUAUGGAACAAAUAAUAUCCGUCAAUUCCAUUCGGGGUCAACGAGGCAUCAUAAUAGUUUCAAAAUUUAGGCUCAUAUAUCAUAUGAGUCACAAUUUAUAGUAUAGAAUUGCACUCAAGAUAAUAAAAUCAUUAAGGCAUCCCAACACUUGCAACAAAUGGAACAAAUAAUAUCCGUCAAUUCCUUUCGGGUCAUCGAGACAUCAUAAUAGUUUCAAAAUUUAGGUUCAUAUAUCAUAUAUGAGUGACAAUUCGUAGUAUAGAAUGGCACUCAAGAUCAUAAAAUCAAUGAGGCAUCCCAACACUAGAAACAUAUGGGACAAAAAAUAUCCGCAAUUCCUUUCGGGUCAUCGAGGCAUCAUAAUAGUUACAAAAUUUAGGCUCAUAUAUCAUAUAUGAGUGACAAUUCGUAGUAUAGAAUGGCACUCAAGAUCAUAAGAUCAGAGGCAUACCAACACUUGCAACAUAUGGGACAAAUAAUAUCCAUCAAUUCCUUUCGGGUCAUCGAAGCAUCAUAAUAAUUUCAAAAUUUAGGCUCAUAUAUCAUAUAUGAGUCAAUUCAUAUAAUAGUCAAUUCAUAUAAUACAAUUGCACUCAAGAUCAUAAAAUCAUUAAGGCAUCCCAACACUUGCAACAUAUGGAACAAAUAAUAUCCGUCAAUUCCUUUCGGGUCAUCGAGGCAUCAUAAUAGUUUCAAAAUUUAGGCUUAUAUAUCAUAUAUGAGUGACAAUUCAUAGUAUAGAAUUGCACUCAAGAUCAUAAAAUCAAUGAGGCAUCCCAAACAUAUGGGACAAAUAAUAUCCGCAAUUGAUUUCGGGUCAUCGAGGGAUCAUAAUAGUUUUAAAAUUUAGGUUCAUAUAUCAUAUGAGUGACAAUUCGUAGUAUAGAAUUGCACUCAAGAUCAUAAGAUCAUUGAGGCAUACCAACACUUGCAACAUAUGGGACAAUAAUAUCCGUCAAUUCCUUUCGGGUUAUCGAGGCAUCAUAAUAGUAUCAAAAUUCAGGCACAUAUAUCAUAUAUAUGAGUGACAAUUCGUAGAAUAAAAUUGCACUCAAGAUCAUAAAAUCAUUGAGGCAUCCCAACACUUGCAACAUAUGGGACGAAUAAUAUCCGUCAAUUCCUUUCGGGUCAUCGAGGCAUCAUAAUAGUUUUAAAAUUUAGGCUCAUAUAUCAUAUAUGAGUCACAAUUCAUAGUAUAGAAUUGCACUCAAGAUCAUAAAAUCAUUAAGGCAUCCCAACACUUGCAACAUAUGGAACGAAUAAUAUCAGAUUCCUUUCGGGUCAUCGAGGCAUCAUAAUAGUUUCAAAAUUUAGGUUCAUAUAUCAUAUAUGAGUGACAAUUCAUAGUAUAGAAUUGCACUCAAGAUCAUAAAAUCAUUGAGGCUUACCAACACUUGCAACAUAUGGGACAAAUAAUAUCCGUCAAUUCCUUUCGGGUUAUCGAGGCAUCAUAAUAGUUUCAAAAUUAGGCUCAUAUAUUAUAUAUGAGUGACAAUUCGUAGAAUAAAAUUGCACUCAAGAUCAUAAAAUCAUUGAGGCAUCCCAACACUUGCAACAUAUGGGACAAAUAAUAUCCGUCAAUUCCUUUCGGGUUAUCGAGGCAUCAUAAUAGUUUCAAAAUUUAGGCUCAUAUAUCAUAUAUGAGUAACAAUUCAUAGUAUAGAAUUGCACUCAAGAUCAUAAAAUCAUUGAGGCAUCCCAACACUUGCCAACAUAUGGGACAAAUAAUAUCCGUCAAUUCCUUUCGGGUCAUCGAGGCAUCAUAAUAGUUUUAAAAUUUAGGCUCAUAUAUCAUAUAUGAGUGACAAUUCAUAGUAUAGAACUGCAUUCAAGAUCAUAAAAAUAUUGAGGCAUCCCAACACUUGCCAACAUAUGAGACAAAUAAUAUCCGUCAAUUCCUUUCGGGUCAUCGAUGCAUCAUAAUAGUUUCAAAGUUUAGGCUCAUAUAUCAUAUAUGAGUGACAAUUCAUAGUCUAGAAUUGCACUAAGAUCAGAAAAUCACCGAGGCAUCCCAACAUUUACAAAAUUUUAAGUAGCAAAAAUAAUAUUCAUCAUUUCCUAUCAUUGGUUUUAGGAUAAUAUCAUCCCCUUUUCAAAUUAAGAAAAUUGAUUUCAACUCACAUAGACAAUCACAGUAAUGAAUUCCAUUCAAGUUAUAAAAGAUAUCAUCAAAUUAUGAAUUCUUUAAAGUCCUCAGGCACCCUAAACCGUUUCAAAAUUUAGGCUCAUAUAUUGGGGAAAAAAGAUCUUGCAGCAUUUCAUAAACCCUAACAAUUUAAAUUUUGAUUUACAAAAUUGUACAGGGUUGUUGUUGUUAUAGCAGAAGAUUGAAUGAGAUAAUGGCUAUGCUAGCCUAACAACAAAAUUCUCAACAAGUAACAAUUGUACAGGGGUUAUGAAAAUUCCACGGUAAAAAUGUUCAACAAUUAAAACCUAAACAUCAAGAUAGAGAUAGAAAAGUACCAUUGAAGAAAAAAGUACCACUAAAGGAAAAAGAAACCAGCAACGAGACCAAUGAAACCACCAACACAUCACUGCAUCACCUUCGAAUCGCGAGAAAUUGCGGGUACACACGUUUCCUACCAUUGAAGAAGAAUCGUAAAUUGCGGGUACACAUGUUUCCUACCAUUGAAGAAGAAUCGUAUAAACUUCGAAUGGAAAAAAGAGAGCGUGUCUCCAAUUUAUGAGCUUUCCUUCCUGUGCUUUUGUCAGGUGUAUAAAUGUUCCUAAAAAUCUCUCGAUAUACAACAUUUCAGGAAAUGUGCCUCAAAUUUACAUAGAACUGAAUGCAUAAAAUUAACAAACUUAGGUGACGUACCAUAUGCAUUGUCAGGUGUAUAUCGAGAUUUGAGCUACAUCAAUGUCAGUUCUGCUAAUUUCUAAGCAAUACAAAUCUGCCCACCAGCCACAACCCACAACCAAUCUUGAAAUGCGAAUCUAAAUCACAAAGAAAUUGAGUGUUCAAUCCCAAUUGUGUUCACAAUCAUUCAACUUGGGACUAACCAAAGGAACUAAAGAUAUAAUUGAAAUAAAAUAAUAAGCAAGUUAUACAAUAGUAAAUUCAAGUUAUACAAUAGUAGUUUCUCAUCCAAAUCUUCACAUUUCAAACUUCAAAUUUAAAACGAUCUCUUGGGAUUGAAAGAUGCAUGCUGACAUAAGACACUAAUCAAUAACCAAAUGAACAUGUUAUUGCGAGCACAUAAUAAACUAAAUAUAGGUUCUAAAAGUGGCAUAAAAUAAAUCAUACAAAAGGAGAGUUCCAGCCUAUUGGUUGGCAAUAUCACUACAAAUGCAAAGUAGCACCAAGCACUAUCAAUCUCAAAAUCAUCUCACACAUUCUCAAGCACCAAGUCAAUUUCAAAAACAUCACAAACAAUAAAAAUUCAAAACAUAUAAAAUAGGGCUCAAUUCAUGGGGUACAAUACAUUUUUUUUUGAUAGAGGAAAGAAUAAGCAAAGACUUCUUAAUAAAAAAAGACAAAGCUUUCAUUGAGCAAUUUAUUUGAUUGAUUGUAAGAAUUUUAGGCUUGUUCUUCUACAAAUAUCUUCUUAUGUAAUUUAUAUAUAAUCUCAAUACUGUCAUCAAAAUUUGUAUGAAACCAAAUAUCGGUGAUUAUGGUCUUAUUUUUGGUUCAAUUGAAGAAGCCAUAAGACUGUGUGGUCUUAGUAAACGAUAUUCAUUGACUAAUUAUUCAAGUUUAGUGUAGUUUCAUUUCCCAUUCUUUUUUACUAUAGAAGUAUGUAUCAGAAAAGUAAAGUGCAUUAGAUGGCACCAGGAACAAAGGGCUGAGUUUAACACCGUAUCGAGCGGCUAUUACCCACAUGGCUAUCUGAACAAUGAAAAUAAUACAAACACAAAACAUUUUAAACUUGACAAACCUCAGCUGUUUUAAUGCUUUAUAGUCUAGAAAAAAAUUUAAUGUUUGGUGGAAAACUGAACAUAUAACUUACCUCAGAAACUCCAAGAAUAGAUAAGAAACCACCAAAUAGAGGCACAGCGUUAGCAAGAUAAUCAUCAAGUGUAGCAACAGGUUUAAGGAAGAAUCCACUCAUCAAAGCAACCGUUCCAAAAGUAGUAACAGCAAAUGCAACUGCACUUAAGUAUUGCUCAUAUUUGUUGACUGAAAUUGGAGAUCCAUUUCUGCUUUUGGUUGCACCAUACAAACCUGAAUGUACAAAGCACGCAAUUAACUGAAAUCCUUAAUUGUAUUUUUGUCCUUUAGCUUAAGUAUCGUGUGAUUUUAGUCUUCAUAAUCUUAAUUUUUUAAAUCAAAUCCUCAUACUUUUCAAAUGAAACAGAUUUGUUCUAACAUUAACAUUUCUUACAAUUGCUAAUAAAAAGUAGCCCUAAAUAGAGAACAAACAUAAACCUUAUAAUCUUAUAUCACUCUCCAUUCUAGUUGUUAGAUUUCUUUACAACUACCAAAGGAUUUCCACAAAAAAAAAAAAACUUGAUUCAAUCAAAAUUAGAAAACCAAUAAAUAACAGAGAAAAUUAAAUCUCAGUUUUGCAAUAUCAUAAUACUACUCUAUUGAUUAGUAACUUAAUUGAAUACACAUUUGGGAAAAAAGUUUUUUACUGUUUCUAUAACGAGAUUGCCGGAGAAAUUACCCUGUCGGUGGUGAUAUCAAAAAGACUGGAUCUACGGCGACAGCGAUUGAGAUUACUUCGGCAGAGAAAGUACUUCUGAGCAUGACUUACAUAUAUAUGCUUUCACACAAAUUUGCAAUCGCUACAAAACCAACAUGAACCUGUCAAGAUAAAAUUCUGCAGCAAUGGCAUUAUCGGCACCAAAAACAAUUUAAAUCACUGUUGGUUAUUUCUGUUCAUACUACCACACAUUACCUGAUUUAUACUAAAUAAUGACACUGAUGAACAAUAAAAACCAACAUCAACCAUGAAACCUGAAAAUAUGAAGCAAAUAUAUUCUAAAACAUUUCAAUUAACACAAUUUAACUCAACUCCUCACAAACCAAAUCCAAAUCAAAAUUUAAACAGUUAUGUUAAAUCAAAGCCAAACUUAAAUUAGUGAAUGCCAAUUAUAACAAUCAUAUGUACACAGUGUCGUAGGGCAUCAACUCCUCCGAACUCUCUAGUGUGAAUGCCAAUUAUAACAAUCAUAUGUACACAGUGUCGUAGGGCAUCAACUCCUCCGAACUCUCUAGUGUGAAUGCCAAUUAUAACAAUCACAUGUACACAGUGUCGUAGGGCAUCAACUCCUCCGAACUCUCUAGUACCCACUUGCUUAAUAAUUGUAUGAUGUGGGAUGUUUUGUAUUUGUCGUGCUUUUAAUUUCACUUAACUAUCAAAAAUUAGCAGCAAAUCAUCAAAAUAUUCAAGUUAACAAUAAAAGGCAUUUGAGAAAUAUUUGAAAUGUGUUGUUCUUUUAAGAUUUAAAUCACAGAGUUAAACAACCAAAACAGAAUUGAAGAUAAAAGCAAAAUUCCAGGAAAGAACUCAUUUUCAAGUUUCAGGAAUCAAUUUAGCAUCCACGUUUGGAAUAUUAUGUCUAGCAAAACAACCAAAAGCAAAAUUAAAGAUAAGGGUAUUCUGUUCAACAGAUAUGUUCACAUCUUCCUUACCAAGUCCAGGCAUAUCCAAACGAAGAAGCAGAAAAUCCUCUAUCUCUUUCGCAUCCCAACCACGUCGAACUCCACCGGAUCCAAUUCCACAGUUAGCAGAAUAAUCCAUAAAUUGACAAAAAAAACGUUCAACAAUUAAAACCUACCAAUUGUACAGGGUUUAUGAAAAUUCCACGGUAAAAAUGUACCAAUCGUCAACAGGUACCAAUUGUACAGGGUUUAUGAAAAUUCCACGGUAAAAAUGUUCAACAAUUAAAA
rnacentral:lncRNA from 1 species